rnacentral:rRNA from 1 species
CCUACGAGUGGCAGCAGUGAGGAAUAUUUGUCAAUGGGCGGAAGCCUGAACCAGCCAAGUCGCGUGAGGGAUUAAGGCCCUGCGGGUCGUAAACCUCUUUUGCCGGGGAGCAGAGGUCCGGACGUGUCCGGGCCGGGAGAGUACCCGGAGAAAAAGCAUCGGCUAACUCCGUGCCAGCAGCCGCGGUAAUACGGAGGAUGCGAGCGUUAUCCGGAUUUAUUGGGUUUUAAGGGGUCGUAGGCGGGCAUUUAAGCCGGCGGUCAAAUGUCGGGGCUCAAACCCGGCCUGCCGUCGGAACUGGGUGCCUUGAGUGGGCGAGAAGUAUGCGGAAUGCGUGGUGGAGCGGUGAAAUGCAUAGAUAGCACGCAGAACCCCGAGUGCGAAGGCAGCAUACCGGCGCCCUACUGACGCUGAGGCACGAAAGUGCGGGUAUCGAACAGGAUUAGAUACCCUUGUAGUC